UACGUAGGGUGCAAGCGUUGUCCGGAAUUAUUGGGCGUAAAGAGCUCGUAGGCGGUUCGGCAAGUCGGAUGUGAAAUCUCACGCUUAACGUGGAGGGGCCAUUCGAAACUGCUGUGACUCGAGUCCGGUAGGGGAGUGUGGAAUUCCCGGUGUAGCGGUGAAAUGCGCAGAUAUCGGGAGGAACACCAGUAGCGAAGGCGGCACUCUGGGCCGAUAGUGACGCUGAGGAGCGAAAGCGAGGGGA
rnacentral:rRNA from 1 species